GCUUGAUUAGUAUAAAAGUAUUAUAAUUGUUUUGUAAUCAAUAGAAGUAAGUGCGAUACUUGCAUCAGGCU
rfam:Verticillium dahliae VdLs.17 supercont1.54 mitochondrial scaffold, whole genome shotgun sequence.